rnacentral:rRNA from 1 species
UGCCUAGGAAAUUGCCCUGAUGUGGGGGAUAACCAUUGGAAACGAUGGCUAAUACCGCAUAACGCCUACGGGCCAAAGAGGGGGACCUUCGGGCCUCUCGCGUCAGGAUAUGCCUAGGUGGGAUUAGCUAGUUGGUGAGGUAAGGGCUCACCAAGGCGACGAUCCCUAGCUGGUCUGAGAGGAUGAUCAGCCACACUGGAACUGAGACACGGUCCAGACUCCUACGGGAGGCAGCAGUGGGGAAUAUUGCACAAUGGGCGCAAGCCUGAUGCAGCCAUGCCGCGUGUGUGAAGAAGGCCUUCGGGUUGUAAAGCACUUUCAGUCGUGAGGAAGGUAGUGUAGUUAAUAGCUGCAUUAUUUGACGUUAGCGACAGAAGAAGCACCGGCUAACUCCGUGCCAGCAGCCGCGGUAAUACGGAGGGUGCGAGCGUUAAUCGGAAUUACUGGGCGUAAAGCGCAUGCAGGUGGUUUGUUAAG